UGGGGCGGGGGGGGUCUUACCAUGCAGUCGAACGAUGACUUCUGUGCUUGCACAGAAUGAUUAGUGGCGAACGGGUGAGUAACACGUGAGUAACCUGCCCUUGACUUCGGGAUAAGCCUGGGAAACCGGGUCUAAUACCGGAUACGACCUCCUGGCGCAUGCCAUGGGGGUGGAAAGCUUUAUGCGGUUUUGGAUGGACUCGCGGCCUAUCAGCUUGUUGGCGGGGUAAUGGCCCACCAAGGCGACGACGGGUAGCCGGCCUGAGAGGGUGACCGGCCACACUGGGACUGAGACACGGCCCAGACUCCUACGGGAGGCAGCAGUGGGGAAUAUUGCACAAUGGGCGAAAGCCUGAUGCAGCGACGCCGCGUGAGGGACGAAUGCCUUCGGGUUGUAAACCUCUUUCAGCAGGGAAGAAGCGAAAGUGACGGUACCUGCAGAAGAAGCGCCGGCUAACUACGUGCCAGCAGCCGCGGUAAUACGUAGGGCGCAAGCGUUAUCCGGAAUUAUUGGGCGUAAAGAGCUCGUAGGCGGUUUGUCGCGUCUGCUGUGAAAGCCCGGGGCUCAACCCCGGGUCUGCAGUGGGUACGGGCAGACUAGAGUGCAGUAGGGGAGACUGGAAUUCCUGGUGUAGCGGUGAAAUGCGCAGAUAUCAGGAGGAACACCGAUGGCGAAGGCAGGUCUCUGGGCUGUAACUGACGCUGAGGAGCGAAAGCAUGGGGAGCGAACAGGAUUAGAUACCCUGGUAGUCCAUGCCGUAAACGUUGGGCACUAGGUGUGGGGGGACAUUCCACGUUUUCCGCGCCGUACCUAACGCAUUAAGUGCCCCGCCUGGGGGAGUACGGCCGCAAGGGCUAAACUCAAAGGGAUUUGACGGGGGCCCGCACAAGCGGCGGAGCAUGCGGAUUAAUUCCAUGCAACGCGAAGAACCUUACCAAGGCUUGACAUGAACCGGUAAGACCUGGAAACAGGCCCCCAUUGUGGGCCGGGUUAACAG
rnacentral:rRNA from 1 species